GGACAAUGGGCGCAAGCCUGAUCCAGCAAUGCCGCGUGCAGGAUGAAGGCCUUCGGGUUGUAAACUGCUUUUGUACGGAACGAAAAAGCUCUCUCUAAUACAGGGGGUGAAUGACGGUACCGUAAGAAUAAGCACCGGCUAACUACGUGCCAGCAGCCGCGGUAAUAAGUAGGGUGCAAGCGUUAAUCGGAAUUACGGGGCGUAAAGCGUGCGCAGGCGGGUUUGUAAGACAGAGGUGAAAUACCCGGGCUCAACCUGGGCACUGCCUUUGUGACGGCAAAGCUGGAGUGCGGCAGAGGGGGAUGGAAUUCCGCGUGUAGCAGGGAAAUGCGUAGAUAUGCGGAGGAACACCGAUGGCGAAGGCAAUCCCCUGUGCCUGCACUGACGCUCAUGCACGAAAGCGUGGGGAGCAAACA
rnacentral:rRNA from 1 species